GAAGACCACAGAUAUGAGGCUUAUGUAGAGAUGCGCGAUGCACAUACAUACAUUCUUCAUAAAUAUUAAUUUUGAAUGACACUUGCUGCGAACAACAUGUUCAUCGGCUCAAGAAUCAAGGCGUUUUCGAAGUUCAUGUUUGUGUAUAGUGCGAAAUACUUAAAAAAUGCAUUCAUUAAAACUACACGUUACUCGAUGUUUACAGAAAACUCCUGAUUGUCAAAACUAGCAGACAAGAUAAAUCCCGUGUAAUCAAAUUUAUUCUUUGUUUCUUUCCGCGCGUCUUCAUAUUUUAAUCAUCGUCUUUGGAGAAAACAAAAACAAUCUACUGAUAAAUGGUGGAAAAAUUCGAUCGUUGUCGGAUUAUGUCGAAAAUCACUCGAUUUUGGAAGAACACCGAUUGAUCCUACGUUCAACAAUGUGCAGGAUCAGCUACACACGGCUUUACGUCGAUUCGCGUUCCCAAAGAUAAUCAUGACUCCGUAUGAGCACUAUAGUCCUGGAAUGAGUUUGUGAGGUCUUUUAAUGUACAAAGUGUACUAUGAACGGAAUGACUACUGGAUGAGUGCAAACCGUCAUUCACGCCUACAUCCAAAGCUAAAGGUAUAAAGUGUCGCAUCGGAUUUUACAUCAAGACCUCAACCCGUAGAUCUUACUGGUGGAUCAUAACGGUCACGCACAGCUCGCUUAUUUUGGCCUGGCACGGUCGUUCAACUUUACUAUACUGACUUAUAGCAACGAAGAAUAAACUCUUGUGCGGCGCUGGGGAUUUUUUUAAUGAAAUUUUACGCCACGGAAUCUAUUCUGGCAACCGAUGGUUUGCGAUUCUACCAAGCGAAAGGUACUGCCGUACUUCGAUAAGGCGGAGUAAACAUUGAAAUAAACAUGUUCUCUUUGUUAA